UCGGAUCCUCUUUGGGGGGUAGAGCAAGGGUAAAGGAAAGGUUUUCUAAAAUGUUUUUAAGUGUUUUAUGGUUUUAAAUAGAAAAGAGUUGAGUUUUUGAAGAGAAAGACCAAGGAGGCGUUUGCCAGGUUCGGCCGCCGAAAGUGAAGUUCGGCCGCCGAACAUGUGAAGGCUUCGGGAGCGCCUUUGGCCUCCGAAAGUCUUGUGGGAGCAAGCCAAGGUUCGGCCGCCGAAAGUGAGGUUCGGCCGCCGAACAUGCAUGAGUUUAGG
rnacentral:lncRNA from 1 species